AAGCGGAGGAAAAGAAACCAACAGGGAUUGCCCUAGUAACGGCGAGUGAAGCGGCAACAGCUCAAAUUUGAAAUCUGGCUCUUUUAGAGUCCGAGUUGUAAUUUGCAGAGGGCGCUUUGGCGUUGGCAGCGGUCCAAGUUCUUUGGAACAGGACGUCACAGAGGGUGAGAAUCCCGUACGUGGUCGCUAGCCUUCGCCGUGUAAAGCCCCUUCGACGAGUCGAGUUGUUUGGGAAUGCAGCUCUAAAUGGGAGGUAAAUUUCUUCUAAAGCUAAAUACUGGCCAGAGACCGAUAGCGCACAAGUAGAGUGAUCGUUAGAUGAAAAGCACUUUGGAAAGAGAGUCAAAUAGCACGUGAAAUUGUUGAAAGGGAAGCGCUUGCAGCUAGACUUGCCUGUAGUUGCUUAUCCGGACUUUUGUCCGGUGCACUCUUCUGCGGGCAGGCCAGCAUCAGUUUAGGCGGUUGGAUAAUGGUCUCUAUCACGUACCUCCCUUCGGGGUUGGCCUUAUAGGGGAGACGACAUGCAACCAGCCUGAUCUGAGGUCCGCGCAUCUUCUAGGWUGCUGGCGUAAUGGCUGUURGUGCCCGUUUUGAUACACGGACCAAGGAGUCUAACAUCUAUUCKAGUKUUUG
rnacentral:rRNA from 1 species